UACGUAGGGUGCAAGCGUUGUCCGGAAUUAUUGGGCGUAAAGAGCUCGUAGGCGGUCUGUCGCGUCGGCUGUGAAAUCCCGAGGCUCAACCUCGGGUCUGCAGUCGAUACGGGCAAACUGGAGUGUUGCAGGGGAGACUGGAAUUCCUGGUGUAGCGGUGAAAUGCGCAGAUAUCAGGAGGAACACCGGUGGCGAAGGCGGGUCUCUGGGCAACAACUGACGCUGAGAAGCGAAAGCGUGGGGAGCGAACAGG
rnacentral:rRNA from 1 species